rnacentral:rRNA from 1 species
GUGGGGAAUUUUGGACAAUGGGCGCAAGCCUGAUCCAGCAAUGCCGCGUGUGUGAAGAAGGCCUUCGGGUUGUAAAGCACUUUUGGCAGGAAAGAAAUAGUGCGUGCUAAUACCAUGCGCGAAUGACGGUACCUGCAGAAUAAGCACCGGCUAACUACGUGCCAGCAGCCGCGGUAAGACGUAGGGUGCAAGCGUUAAUCGGAAUUACUGGGCGUAAAGCGUGCGCAGGCGGUUUUGUAAGACAGGUGUGAAAUCCCCGGGCUCAACCUGGGAACUGCACUUGUGACUGCAAGGCUAGAGUGUGUCAGAGGGAGGUGGAAUUCCGCGUGUAGCAGUGAAAUGCGUAGAGAUGCGGAGGAACACCGAUGGCGAAGGCAGCCUCCUGGGAUAACACUGACGCUCAGGCACGAAAGUGUGGGGAGCAAACAGGAUUAGAUACCCCAGUAGUCC